AAUAUGGCAGAUUAGUGCAAUGAACUUAAGAUUCAUUUAUAAAUUUUUUUUUGUUAGAAAUAAACAUUUGAAAA
rnacentral:tRNA from 1 species